AUUGAACGCUGGCGGCAUGCUUUACACAUGCAACUCGUACGGUAACAGGCCGCAAGGUGCUGACGAGUGGCGAACGGGUGAGUAAUGCAUCGGAACGUGCCCAGUCGUGGGGGAUAACUACUCGAAAGAGUAGCUAAUACCGCAUACGAUCUAUGGAUGAAAGCGGGGGACCGUAAGGCCUCGCGCGAUUGGAGCGGCCGAUGUCAGAUUAGGUAGUUGGUGGGGUAAAGGCUCACCAAGCCAACGAUCUGUAGCUGGUCUGAGAGGACGACCAGCCACACUGGGACUGAGACACGGCCCAGACUCCUACGGGAGGCAGCAGUGGGGAAUUUUGGACAAUGGGCGCAAGCCUGAUCCAGCAAUGCCGCGUGCAGGAAGAAGGCCUUCGGGUUGUAAACUGCUUUUGUACGGAACGAAACGGCUCUGGUUAAUACCCGGGGCUAAUGACGGUACCGUAAGAAUAAGCACCGGCUAACUACGUG
rnacentral:rRNA from 1 species